rnacentral:rRNA from 1 species
GACGAACGCUGUCGGCGUGCCUAAUACAUGCAAGUAGAACGCAGUUGCGAACGGGUGAGUAACGCGUAGGUAACUGCCUCAUAGCGGGGGAUAACUCUUGGAACCGAUAGCUAAUACCGCAUACUGUCCUAUGGACCUGUGUUGUAUUAGCUAGUUGGUGAGGUAAAUGCUCAACAAGGCGACGAUACAUAGCCGACCUGAGAGGGUGAUCGGCCAAACUGGGACUGAGACACGGCCCAGACUCCGACGGGAGGCAGCAGUAGGGAAUCUUCGGAAAUGGACGGAAGUCUGACCGAGCAACGCCGCGUGAGUGAAGAAGGUUUUCGGAUCGUAAAGCUCUGUUGUUAGAGAAGCGGUAACUAAAGAGAAAGGGACGGCUAACUACGUGCCAGCCGCCGCGGUAAUAC